UUUCCGUAGGUGAACCUGCGGAAGGAUCAUUAUUGGAUUUUGAAACUUCAGGCUGCUGCUGGCUCUCCUCGGAGGGCAUGUGCACGCUUGUUGUCCAUUAUUUCUCCCACUGUGCACAGAUUGUAGACCUUUCAGUAGGCCUAUGUUGUUUUUCACAAUCUCUGAAUGUAAUAGAAUGGUUUUGAAUCUUGGGAAAUACAAUACAACUUUCAGCAACGGAUCUCUUGGCUCUC
rnacentral:misc_RNA from 1 species